CAAUAGCGUAUAUUAAAGUUGUUGCGGUUAAAAAGCUCGUAGUUGGAUUUCUGCUGAGGACGACCGGUCCGCCCUCCGGGUGAGCAUCUGGUUCGGCCUUGGCAUCUUCUUGGUGAACGUAUCUGCACUUGACUGUGUGGUGCGGUACCCAGGACUUUUACUUUGAGGAAAUUAGAGUGUUUCAAGCAGGCAUACGCCUUGAAUACAUUAGCAUGGAAUAAUAAUCUAGGACUUCGGUUCUAUUUUGUGGUUUCUAGUACUGAAGUAAUGAUUGAUAGGGAUAGUUGGGGGUGCUAGUAUUGGCCGGCCAGAGGUGAAAUUCUUGGAUUUAUGGAAGAUGAACUACUGCGAAAGCAUUUACCAAGGAUGUUUUCAUUAAUCAAGAACGAAAGUUAGGGGAUCGAAGAUGAUCAGAUACCA
rnacentral:rRNA from 1 species